UUGGGUGACGAGCGGCGGACGGGUGAGUAAAGUCUGGGGAUCUGCCUGAUGUUAGGGGGAUAACUACUGGAAACGGUAGCUAAUACCGCAUGACGUCUUCGGACCAAAGUGGGGGACCUUCGGGCCUCACGCCAUGAGAUGAACCCAGAUGGGAUUAGCUGGUAGGUGAGGUAACGGCUCACCUAGGCGACGAUCCCUAGCUGGUCUGAGAGGAUGACCAGCCACACUGGAACUGAGACACGGUCCAGACUCCUACGGGAGGCAGCAGUGGGGAAUAUUGCACAAUGGGGGAAACCCUGAUGCAGCCAUGCCGCGUGUGUGAAGAAGGCCUUCGGGUUGUAAAGCACUUUCAGCGGGGAGGAAGGCAAUAAACUUAAUAAGUUUGUUGAUUGACGUUACCCGCAGAAGAAGCACCGGCUAACUCCGUGCCAGCAGCCGCGGUAAUACGGAGGGUGCAAGCGUUAAUCGGAAUGACUGGGCGUAAAGCGCACGCAGGCGGUCUGUUAAGUUGGAUGUGAAAUCCCCGGGCUCAACCCGGGAACAGCAUUCAAAACUGACAGGCUAGAGUCUCGUAGAGGGGGGUAGAAUUCCAGGUGUAGCGGUGAAAUGCGUAGAGAUCUGGAGGAAUACCGGUGGCGAAGGCGGCCCCCUGGACGAAGACUGACGCUCAGGUGCGAAAGCGUGGGGAGCAAACAGGAUUAGAUACCCUGGUAGUCCACGCCGUAAACGAUGUCGACUUGGAGGCUGUGGUCUUGAACCGUGGCUUCCGGAGCUAACGCGUUAAGUCGACCGCCUGGGGAGUACGGCCGCAAGGUUAAAACUCAAAUGAAUUGACGGGGGCCCGCACAAGCGGUGGAGCAUGUGGUUUAAUUCGAUGCAACGCGAAGAACCUUACCUACUCUUGACAUCCAGAGAAGACUGUAGAGAUACGGUUGUGCCUUCGGGAGCUCUGAGACAGGUGCUGCAUGGCUGUCGUCAGCUCGUGUUGUGAAAUGUUGGGUUAAGUCCCGCAACGAGCGCAACCCUUAUCCUUUGUUGCCAGCGAUACGGUCGGGAACUCAAAGGAGACUGCCGGUGAUAAACCGGAGGAAGGUGGGGAUGACGUCAAGUCAUCAUGGCCCUUACGAGUAGGGCUACACACGUGCUACAAUGGCGCAUACAAAGAGAAGCGAGCCUGCGAGGGUGAGCGGACCUCAUAAAGUGCGUCGUAGUCCGGAUUGGAGUCUGCAACUCGACUCCAUGAAGUCGGAAUCGCUAGUAAUCGUAGAUCAGAAUGCUACGGUGAAUACGUUCCCGGGCCUUGUACACACCGCCCGUCACACCAUGGGAGUGGGUUGCAAAAGAAGUAGGUAGC
rnacentral:rRNA from 1 species